AUACGGAGGAUCCGAGCGUUAUCCGGAUUUAUUGGGUUUAAAGGGAGCGUAGGUGGACAGUUAAGUCAGUUGUGAAAGUUUGCGGCUCAACCGUAAAAUUGCAGUUGAUACUGGCUGUCUUGAGUACAGUAGAGGUGGGCGGAAUUCGGGGUGUAGCGGUGAAAUGCUUAGAUAUCACGAAGAACUCCGAUUGCGAAGGCAGCUCACUGGACUGCAACUGACACUGAUGCUCGAAAGUGUGGGUAUCAAACAGGAUUAGAUACCCUGGUAGUCCACACAGUAAACGAUGAAUACUCGCUGUUUGCGAUAUACAGUAAGCGGCCAAGCGAAAGCAUUAAGUAUUCCACCUGGGGAGUACGCCGGCAACGGUGAAACUCAAAUGAAUUGGCGGGG
rnacentral:rRNA from 1 species